ensembl:lncRNA
GUUCUGGUAGUGAUCCGGAAAUGGAGGAUGAAUCCAGUAGCGGGAAUGCUGGGGGAAAUGAAUGGUGGAAAAUAGUUAAUCGGAAAAGGAAGAAAACCGGUAGUCAAGGAUCAUUUACGGAUAGUGGAAAGGAGGAAGAAGUAGGGACAGACGAGACACACGUGUGUUUAUCUGCUGCAGAGAGACUGAUCAAGGAAUGCUGCCAUCAAAGCCUCUCAAUCUUUUGUGGUGGAGCAGGACUUGCAAGGAAAGGUGACAUUUGUGAAAAAAGGGAAACCCUGAAACAAAAGGAUAACCACAGCAGCAUCCUGGAAAUGGUCCAGUGACACAGAUGAGACGCUCCAUCACUCCACCUCUUACUGCCUCAUCUGGACCGGAUGUUGCUGUGGUCUCUUCAUUCUCAGUGACCCCAGAGCCAGCGAGAGCAUCUAGAGAAAGAAAGACCUGAAGCGUCUACAAUCCCCCGAUCAACCUGGAGGAAAGAGCCUUGCUCAAGGGCAUACUGAUGGUUUAGAACCCGCGACCUUCUGCUCACCAGUUCAGUGGUUUAGCCCACAACAAAAGUAAUAAAGCUACAACAAAAAAAGCAUGUAAUUGUAAACAUGAAAUGAAAUUUGUUAAUAAAUGGAAAGCUGACAACAUGAAUUGUAAAAUGUUUUACAGGUAGUCGUGCUCAUGGAGAGCAGACACACGAUUGAAUGAAGCUUUGUUUCAUCUGUUGUUGACUUGUAUAUGUAUGUAUUUAUUGUGAUGCUUUUAUUCAUUCCUUUACUUAUUUAUUCAUGUUUCUUAUUGUUGUCAGUAAACAAAAUAUAAAUAUUUUAUUUAUGUAUUAAUUGCUUGACUGAAAAUUCAUGUAUUCACAUCGACUGCAUUUGUUCAACUAGUGUAUAUUCAUGUAUAGCUAUGUCACGACAAAAAAAAUACAUUUAGCUUGUUUAACUAAAAUGUAAUUUUAAGGGAAAAAAAGUAAUAAUUAUUGGUUGGCAUUUAUCAUUAUUAUUGCAUGUAAGUGUUGGGGUGAGCAAACGAUGCAAUUCAUUCUGGGGUAAUCUUAAUUUUGAAGUAGUAAUAUUUACAUUUUUAGAGUAUAAAAUCUUCUCCAAAGUCAAGAUCUUCUAGCAGCUGAUCGACGUUUCCUUUGUGAUUUUACACAACCGUUCCAUAAAUAAGGAGUUAAUAUGAUGUUAUAUUUUAAAAUAUAACACAAUUCUAUGUAAGUUAUAUUACUGGGUUUUAUAUAUUAUAUACUAUAUCAUUGUGUAAUUAUAUUAUUGUGUUAUAUACAGUAUAACACAAUAUUGUCUGUUUUUGCUCUGUUUUGCCAAUAAAAAUAUUACCUAUACACUAAAGCCACAGCAGAAUUGUUGCGCAUCUCAUAGAGACACAGCUGUGUUUAGUUUUUGAAUGAAU